rnacentral:rRNA from 1 species
UAGGGAAUCUUCGGCAAUGGCGAAAGCCUGACCGAGCAACGCCGCUGAGCGAUGAAGGCCUUCGGGUCGUAAAGCUCUGUUGUUAGAGAAGAACAAGUACGAGAGUAACUGCUCGUACCUUGACGGUACCUAACCAGAAAGCCACGGCUAACUACGUGCCAGCAGCCGCGGUAAUACGUAGGUGGCAAGCGUUAUCCGGAAUUAUUGGGCGUAAAGCGCGCGCAGGCGGUCUCUUAAGUCUGAUGUGAAAGCCCACGGCUCAACCGUGGAGGGUCAUUGGAAACUGGGAGACUUGAGUGCAGGAGAGAAAAGUGGAAUUCCACGUGUAGCGGUGAAAUGCGUAGAGAUGUGGAGGAACACCAGUGGCGAAGGCGGC